CUAUUAUCUGCUCAUUGAACGGGGAUAUUAUAUCUUCUGACAAUUCCAUUUUUAGGAAUGUCGUCCAAUAUAGUAUGUUGAUUGAGCUAUCUUGGUCGAUCAGGACCUUACUGACAUCAUAUAAUGCUAUCUAGGUGGUGAUGACCAUGGGAUCAUCUUGAUCAGAUUCCGGGGCAUGGAAGUCUGCGUUGGUAAACGUGAUGUCUUGCAUGGAUAAAGGAUUGCGACUUACAGCAUGAACACUUCUCAAGCUCCUCAAAUGUCUCUUCUGGGCCGAAGACGAGGCUCCUCCCCCA
rnacentral:lncRNA from 1 species